UAUGGCCAUAUCAUAUAUUGAAACAACAGUCCCCAUACAAACACUGAAGUUAAGCAAUGUCAAGCUUGGUCAGUACCGAGAUGGGUGACCACUUGGGAAUACCAGGUGUU